GCACAUACUGGAACAGCAGACCAGCCACGACUUAGUGAAGAGGACAAGCAGAAUAUGCCUCUUCCAGUUCAAGGCCCUGCCUGCAACUCUUCUGGGCACCUAGCCGGGUGGCACACAUUUAACUCAUUGCCUUUUGCCGGGAAAACUGCCACUGUUGUUGGAGAGGCAGCACCGGUUCUACCAAGGGGUUUGGAGUGGGCUGGUUUUGUGUUGAACUCUAGGAUUCUUUGGAAAGAGGCGGAGGGAAAACCUGAUUGGGUGAAGGAUCUGGAUGCUGUGGGUGAGAACGGCGAGGAAAUCGAGAACCCCCUUAUUUUGUUGAAUGAUCCAUCCUCCGUUGAGCCAUUGGGGAACUGUGGGAAGAAGAUCCUCUUGUGGUGGCUCCGUGUUGAAGCGCGAGCUGACAGCAAAUUUCCUCAGGGGUGAGAUUUAUUUUGGAAUUUUUCAUUACAUUUUUCACUGGUUACUUUAAACUCGCCAUUAUGUUGAUGCAAAAUAUUGAAAUGCUCUAUGCACCUUUGUUCGGUACUUCAAACAACUUGUGUAGCCACAAUCUAAGUCAUAGAGUCUAGAGAAUCCCUUCCAUAAGUUAGUUAUGCUGACCAGACUUUCUAGUUAGGCACUCAACUCAGUAUUUUCUGGGGAGAAUUGGACAAGCCAACCAUCCAAUAUUUUUUUUCGAAUAAGAGCAACCAUCUAAUAAUUAGUUAUUCAGCAACUGAGACUUUGAUUCAGUUUGAAUCUAGUAAUGGUACUGCCACUAAUAUGGUUGCACUGAGUUGAGUCUGGUGCUAGAUCGAACGGUGUGAAUUACUCAUAAAUCUCCUUGUUAGUAAUUCACAUUAAAUUAAAUAGUCCAUUGUCUAGUCUCUUAGUUGUUUGACUUCUUGUUUAAGAGCUCCAUUCUGCACUUGGGAUCUGGGAUUGGGAACUUUGCAGACCCAAGAUGGCAUCCUGCAAGAUGUCAAAUUUAACUCUGUUUUUGUAAAAUGACCUUUAUUUUGUUCUUUUUUCCUUCUAUAAUUACUUGCAGUGGUUGUCCUUUUUUUUUUUUGGUAUUUCCAAUCAGAAAUGCGUCUGUUUUUGUUUAUUUUAAUGCCACUGUGUUACAUUUACUGCUGUAGCAGCAGCACUAGAAUUUUGCAUUUCCAAUUUAACCAAAGUGCUCAAGUAUAAACUUUGGCUGCAACAAACGCUUUUGCAAGUAGCAUUCAUGUGUACCCAACACUUGUUGGAUAGCCACCACUCCUCUGAUACGUAAUAGAGGCAGUGUAGGAUUAGGUAUUUAACAACUGUGACCCCUUCAACUGACAUGCUGCCAUGUGGUAGUGGCAUGAAAGAUGCCAAACCAUCAAUAAUUAACUAAUUAUCAUUAUCAACAUUUUGUUUUGAAAUUUGGACACAAAGUUUUCAUUGCAUUCAUGUUGGAGUCAAUUUCAUGGUUGACCACUGUCAUCGGUCACAUGGUAAAGAAAGUUUGUGUCCUUGUAUCAGAAAUAUGUUCUCCAAAGCCAUGGAUAUGGAGCUUCAUCGAGAGAAACUUAGCUUUAGAGAAUUAGAGUUAUAAAGGAUGUUUCCAUAAACUGCAAAUUUCAUUUAAAUCAACUAAAACAAUUGAUUGAAUAUUAGGUUCUUCUAACCAAACACAAUAACACCUGGAAUCAUCAAGAAUGGCUGACUAUUUAAUUGUUUGUUAAUGUUUCUUCCCUUAUCUUUUAUCCUUAAGUUCAUGAGUUUUUAUGUUUGCUAAGCUGCAAUGAAAUGUGUUCUGCAGGUGGGUAAUUGAGCCACCUUUGGACAUAGUUGUUCCCGCCAAGCGCACCCCAUGGCCUGAAACUACCGCUGAGCUUUCGGCUGAAUUAGUAGAUUCCAAACA
rnacentral:lncRNA from 1 species